UACGUAGGGCGCGAGCGUUUGUCCGGAUUUAUUGGGCGUAAAGAGCUCGUAGGCGGUUUGUCGCGUCUGCUGUGAAAACUCAGGGCUUAACCCUGAGCCUGCAGUGGGUACGGGCAGACUAGAGUGUGGUAGGGGAGAUCGGAAUUCCUGGUGUAGCGGUGGAAUGCGCAGAUAUCAGGAGGAACACCGGUGGCGAAGGCGGAUCUCUGGGCCAUAACUGACGCUGAGGAGCGAAAAGCAUGGGG
rnacentral:rRNA from 1 species